rnacentral:rRNA from 1 species
UUGUUCGGAAUUACUGGGCGUAAAGGGCUCGUAGGCGGCCAACUAAGUCAGACGUGAAAUCCCUCGGCUUAACCGGGGAACUGCGUCUGAUACUGGAUGGCUUGAGUUUGGGAGAGGGAUGCGGAAUUCCAGGUGUAGCGGUGAAAUGCGUAGAUAUCUGGAGGAACACCGGUGGCGAAGGCGGCAUCCUGGACCAACACUGACGCUGAGGAGCGAAAGCCAGGGGAGCAAACGGG